ACGGAAGGCAGCAGUGGGGACUAUUGCACAAUGGGCGAAAGCCUGAUGCAGCGACGCCGCGUGAGCGAAGAAGUAUUUCGGUAUGUAAAGCUCUAUCAGCAGGGAAGAAUAAUGACGGUACCUGACUAAGAAGCACCGGCUAAAUACGUGCCAGAAGCCGCGGUAAUACGUAUGGUGCAAGCGUUAUCCGGAUUUACUGGGUGUAAAAGGAGCGCAGGCGGUACGGCAAGUCUGAUGUGAAAGCCCGGGGCUCAACCCCGGUACUGCAUUGGAAACUGUCGAACUAGAGUGUCGGAGGGGUAAGUGGAAUUCCUAGUGUAGCGGUGAAAUGCGUAGAUAUUAGGAGGAACACCAGUGGCGAAGGCGGCUUACUGGACGAUCACUGACGCUGAGGCUCGAAAGCGUGGGGAGCAAACAGGAUUAGAUACCCUGGUA
rnacentral:rRNA from 1 species